rnacentral:rRNA from 1 species
UACGAAGGGGGCUAGCGUUGUUCGGAAUCACUGGGCGUAAAGCGCACGUAGGCGGCUUCUUAAGUCGGUGGUGAAAGCCUGGAGCUCAACUCCAGAACUGCCUUCGAUACUGAGAGUCUUGAGUCCGGGAGAGGUGAGUGGAACUGCGAGUGUAGAGGUGAAAUUCGUAGAUAUUCGCAGGAACACCAGUGGCGAAGGCGGCACACUGGCCCGAUACUGACGCUGAGGCGCGAAAGCGAGGGGAGCAAACAGG